AAUAAAUCAAGGGAUGAGGAUCACCAGCAUAUUAGUGAAACCUAUACUCGGAAUUAAGUGCUUGGGAAUGCAUCAACGACAAGACUUGUUGCUUACUUGUCAGCCAGUUGCUGUGUGCACAAAAACAAUAAGCAAAGCCUGCACAUUUGCUCGACUUUCGACACGCAUUUAACGUCUUUGAGAUCUUCUGAGUCCUCGCACCUUCAUUUAUGUAAGAAAAGUGGAGAUACACCAAGGAUGGAUGUAGUGACAGACUGACUGACUAAAUGUUAAGUAAGUUGGCAGCCAUGAGCCGAUCCAUGAUGCAGUGAUGCCGGAGGGGGCGGGGCUCAACAUGUAGUGGUACUGGGGGAGGCGGUAAGCUAUCCCGCUGAGUCAACCCCCACAGACCAACCCCUUCGGUGGGCCAUCUGCCAGACGGCCCUCACACACCAACACACACACGAUAAUGAGGAGGGAGUGUGUAGGGAGACCCCAAGUUAGGCAAUCAAUCUAGAUUGAUUAGGCAACUAGUAAGAAAUAAUAAGGAAGCAUUUCAAGAGAUAAACUACGGUGUUUAUUUUCUAAAAGAUUAUUAGUCGUUUGAUAGCAGC
ensembl:lncRNA